rnacentral:rRNA from 1 species
AGAGUUUGAUCCUGGCUCAGGACGAACGCUGGCGGCGUGCUUAACACAUGCAAGUCGAACGAUGAACCAUUUCGGUGGGGAUUAGUGGCGAACGGGUGAGUAACACGUGGGUAAUCUGCCCUUCACUCUGGGACAAGCCCUGGAAACGGGGUCUAAUACCGGAUACGAGCCGGGGAGGCAUCUCCCGGGUUGUAAAGCUCCGGCGGUGAGGGAUGAGCCCGCGGCCUAUCAGCUGGUUGGUGAGGUAACGGCUCACCAAGGCGACGACGGGUAGCCGGCCUGAGAGGGCGACCGGCCACACUGGGACUGAGACACGGCCCAGACUCCUACGGGAGGCAGCAGUGGGGAAUAUUGCACAAUGGGCGCAAGCCUGAUGCAGCGACGCCGCGUGAGGGAUGACGGCCUUCGGGUUGUAAACCUCUUUCAGCAGGGAAGAAGCGCAAGUGACGGUACCUGCAGAAGAAGCGCCGGCUAACUACGUGCCAGCAGCCGCGGUAAUACGUAGGGCGCAAGCGUUGUCCGGAAUUAUUGGGCGUAAAGAGCUCGUAGGCGGCUUGUCACGUCGAUUGUGAAAGCUCGGGGCUUAACCCCGAGUCUGCAGUCGAUACGGGCUGGCUGGAGUGUGGUAGGGGAGAUCGGAAUUCCUGGUGUAGCGGUGAAAUGCGCAGAUAUCAGGAGGAACACCGGUGGCGAAGGCGGAUCUCUGGGCCAUUACUGACGCUGAGGAGCGAAAGCGUGGGGAGCGAACAGGAUUAGAUACCCUGGUAGUCCACGCCGUAAACGGUGGGAACUAGGUGUUGGCGACAUUCCACGUCGUCGGUGCCGCAGCUAACGCAUUAAGUUCCCCGCCUGGGGAGUACGGCCGCAAGGCUAAAACUCAAAGGAAUUGACGG